UAAUCAGUUCUUUAUCCUUAAAAUUACGUUCAAAUAUUUAAUUUAAACAUAGGAAAAUGCCUUCAGAAGAUUCCAAACCGGUGAAGAAAGUUCUUGAUGAAGAUGACGAACAGAGCAUAGCAACAGCUUUUGGAAACCGCAAGAAGAAAUCAGCCGAUAACAGCAAUGCCAUCUCAAAAUCUCAGAGUAAAGUCAAGAAAGAAGAAAACAAAGUGAAAAGGGAACUAGACGAUGAAGAAUUUGAAGAGCCUACCUCGAAAAAGACGUCAAGGAAGGCUGAUAACAAGGGACAGCAAGAGAAGAAAAAGGGGGCCAAAGCAAGUGACAAGGGUGCUAAGAAAAGGGAAAGGAAAGUUUAUGAUUUGCCAGGUCAAAAGAGGGAUUCUCCCGAGGAAAGAGAUCCAUUGAGGAUUUUCUAUGAGACUUUGUAUGAGCAAGUUCCCUCUAGUGAGAUGGCUGCAAUUUGUUUGCAGAUUUGGUCUGAUCUUUCUUAUCAGUUCAUCAGUUUGCAAUCCAAAUUUGUAUCUGCCAUGCACGAAACACAAUUGCGUUUUGUGCAAAUUUUGGUUACUCUGCACAAAAAGAGAGGUUCAUUCCUAUUCUUUUGCCAUUUAAGAAUAAUCAUUAGCCUUGUCUACUCGAUGCACAUACCCUCGCUUAUUAUGUCUAUUCUGCCUCCAUGCUUCUUAGCAGCCUGCAGAAUGAAUACAUUAGUUACUGUGGCAGGUUAUAAUACAUCUGUUGCUUGACAUGUGGACUGGUAGCAGUAAUCAUCUGAAUUUUUAUUCUUAAUUCGUGAAGUUAUUCAGAGUGUCUAUUUCAAAGGUGUGAAACACUCUCCAGGUGUUGAAUUCCCAGGAUGCAAAAUCUCAUGAAACUCAAAUUUGAUUGAAUUUGAUAGAUCCGGUACCAUGUGGUAACAUCUUUCCUGAAGAUGAUUUAAAAUUUCUUGAUGAUGGAGUCUGGUUUACUUCCAAAGGAGGAAGCAAAGAAAGUUUUUGAGAAAAAACAGAAAAAAGGCCAGGAGCAAAGUCUGGGCUCU